CGAACAAAUAACAAAGUAGCUCAGAAAAGUAGGGUAUUAUGCCUAAGAAUGUUAACGAGGGUAUAACUCAGUUAUGGAUGCCUCAUUACGUGAUGAAGAAAUAGAUUUACUUUUGGCUAAUUCUCUAGGUUCUGACGAUCUUGAAUUGUACUCUUUAAUAAGUGAAAUCUCUGGGUUAAUAUCAUUGUGCGUGUAGUAUGCAGGCCCUGAAGGCACGGGUAGACUCAGAGAGAGGCUACUGAGCAUGAGAACUACUGCAGCCAUAGUUGGUCUAUCACCAAUAUUUUCUUGAACGCACAGUAAGGCAAUGUGGAUGUAUCUCUUGAUGUCACGAACCAGUCCUGAACUUCC